AGAUGGCUGAUUAGUGAGGGGUGUUGAAGUUUGAAAUUCAAGUUUAUAGAAUGUAAAGCUGUACAGUUAUGGCGACCCCAAAGAGAAAGCAUGAAAGAACCUUUAGAGUAGAGUUCAACACUUAAGGCAAGUAGACAAGCCAAAGACCUCUUAAGGAUCAGGCUUGAAGAGAAGGGAGAGUUUGGGAAAAGAAAAAAUAAAGAAAAGCUGGAAGAAGGACAAGCCUAAUGGGAGACAAAGCCUCGCUUUAUCUACAAAAGGGGGAAAAGGUUGUUUUUCAAAGUUAAAGAUAAAGCCAUCUGUCAUAUUUGGCCAAGCAUCUCAUGACAAGUCCUUCUGACAAGCACUUAAAGAGUUAAAGGUCAAGAUGAAGUUGAAUGAUGGCCAAGAUUAAAGGAGUCAUACCUGAUCCCUGUGAAGACUGCUGGCCCUGCGCUGCUUUAGCACAAUGAUCAGUUGGCCCUGAAUGAGUUGCA
rnacentral:lncRNA from 1 species